CUCAGUGCUGAGAGCAUUGUCCUACAUAUUUACAUAUUUACCUGUAGAGGAUAUUGAAACAUCUUGUAGUUACAGCUGUGAGCAGUAAUCAGAUGGAGUUCACCAAGUUGUGAUGGAAUAGAAGCCAACAUGUACAAGAAGUUCUAAAAAUGCUCACAGAAAUGGGAAUUCGAACAACUACAAUUGAAUGACAACCGGGAGACUCCAUCCGCUGAAGAAGAUCAUGUGAUAUGAUUUACAGUUCCAGUUAGUGGAUGGAUGUUCCACAAAUAUUUUUUAAAAUUGUUUUCAAGGAUGAAGUUGAAGAAUCUGUACUCCAGUAUAAAUCAGAGGUCAAAGGUCAAAAUCAAGAAUUUUCUCAUUCAUUCUCCCUGGGAACAUGGGAUUUUGAAAGAAGCUGUGAUGGAGAAUGUAAUUCGAUU